GUGGGGAAUCUUGCGCAAUGGGCGAAAGCCUGACGCAGCCAUGCCGCGUGAAUGAUGAAGGUCUUAGGAUUGUAAAAUUCUUUCACCGGGGACGAUAAUGACGGUACCCGGAGUAGAAGCUCCGGCUAACUUCGUGCCAGCAGCCGCGGUAAUACGAAGGGGGCUAGCGUUGCUCGGAAUUACUGGUCGUAAAGGGCGCGUAGGCGGACAGCUUAGUCAGAGGUGAAAGCCCAGGGCUCAACCUUGGAAUUGCCUUUGAUACUGGCUGUCUUGAGUUUGGGAGAGGUGAGUGGAACUCCGAGUGUAGAGGUGAAAUUCGUAGAUAUUCGGAAGAACACCAGUGGCGAAGGCGACUCACUGGCCCAAUACUGACGCUGAGGCGCGAAAGCGUGGGGAGCAAACAGGAUUAGAAACCCCGGUAGUCC
rnacentral:rRNA from 1 species